GAGACCCCAUUGUAUGCCGGUGUC
rnacentral:siRNA from 1 species